UGGCCACAUGACGUUGAAACACCAGUUACUAUACAAUCACCGAAGUUAAGCAACGUCGAGCCUGGUCAGUACUUAAAUGAGUGACUGCUUGGGAAUACCAAGUGAU